CCUUAAAUAAGAAAGAAAACAUAUAUUGAAAUAUGAAAAAUUACAAAAGUCUGAAUUAAACACAAUAUAAACUAAUAUUUUAAACAAACUACACGGCCAGACCACAAGGGCCCGAAGCCUUUUUGGGCUCAUUCUUAGAUGGGCUCAUAACUCAAGACUUCCAAGUGAACAAAUGGAAUAUGAUCACGAAUCGCUAUGUAUCUAGCUUGGAGUUGGAAUCAUACACAAUCUUGCACAUAUUAAUUGAGUAUGGGCUCUCGAAGAAAUGUUGUGCAUGAAUUGCUCCAAUAUAGAUCUAACUUGGAGCCAAUUUUGAGAUAAAGAUUGUCUCAGCAACAGUUAUAGAUAGGCCCUUAUUUCAAAUUAUUGUCAACGCUAUUAACUCUAUGAAACAGAGAAGAAAAGAAAUAUCAAACAUCUAUGACAGAAGAGAGAAGCAGAAGCUAGCUUACAUGAUUAUUCAAAAAUGAGAGAUUUAAAUCACUUCACACACGGAAUCGCCGAUAUAUAAAUUUGUAGAUAAGAUCGUUAUACCAUUUGUUUACCUGCACGGAAAACAUUAGAGGUGAAACAACUGCUCCGAAGCCGACCGCAAAUCCAAUUGACAUGGCUAUGAAGAACCAAUCAAUUACACCGCUUGAAGCUGGUGGCAGUGAAGGUGGUAACUCAGGAGGACGUGCUUGGCUUUCAUUCGUCAAAGGAGGUCCGUACAAUCCUUUGUUUCCUUCAUAAGAAGUCGGUGAAAAUGAUUGGAGUUGAGUACUUGUCGGAAUCUUUCCCACUAAGUUAUUGUAUGAGAGAUUUAGCACCGAUAGGAAAUUUAGGCUUGCAAGCUGUGCAGGAAUUUUCCCACUGAGGUUGUUCGUUGAGAGGUCCAAGGACUCAAUAUGUUUCAAGUUCCCAAAUGAUGAUGGGAUUGAGCCUGUGAGAGCAUUGUGCGACAGGUUCAGAGCAUAGAGUGAUACAAAUCGUCCCAUUUCUUCUGGUAUUUGCUCUUCGAAAUUGUUUCUUGACAAGUCAAUAGAGGUGAAUAUAUUUGGGAUCUUCUGAAGCAUGAUCUCCAAACCUUUGAUUGUAAGUGAUAAGGUAACCUCAUAGAAUCGGCUGCUUCCGGUGGCAUAUCGAAGGUGUUUGAGCUCAAAUCCGCAUUCGGGUUUAGCAUCCAUCAUCUCCUCCAAGGUAAGUAACCAUUUUUGUGAUAGCCUUCCACUGAAGUUAUUGGAAGCUAAGUAGACUAUUUGAAGCUGGGUCCAGGAGACAUUAUUUCUCGGACAACUAAUAUUUCCUGAGAAUUUGUUGGAUCGCAAAACCAGAACUUGUAAACCAGAGGCAUUCUUUAACCAGCAUGGAAAUUUAUCACUGAUCUGGUUAUUCCCUAUGUUAAAAACCUGCAACAUGUUGCAAUUGACAAGAGAUUUUGGAACCAUUCCUUCUAGUUGAUUUCCAUUGAUAUCUAGAAUUUGCAAUCCACCUGGAACUGUAUCAGAAAGAGUGCCAUUGAGGUGGUUUCUCGCUAAAUUUAAAACGCCAAGGGUCCUGCUACUAUUGGUGAUUAAACACGUAGGAAUUGUGCCACUCAUGUCGUUGUUUGAUAAGUCAAGAACUUGAAAAUAGUUGGCCUUGCACACAGAUUCCGGGAUGAUUCCAGUGAGACUAUUGUUUGCAGCAGAAAAGAAGGCAGUUUCACACAAUCUUCGGCUGGGAUUGAAGUAAAAUUAUUGUUGGAGUAAUCCACGUAGGAAGUAUUUGGUGACAUGUUGGUUAGAGUGCAGGUCAAGUAAUCCGAUUCCAGGAAUAGAGUAAGGUUCUUGCAAGCUCUCUAGAAGAUUGUGUGAAAGAUUUAGGGUGUAAAAUUGGCCACUACCAACUUCCCAAAUCCAAUUUGGUACCUCCCCAGAUAUUUGGUUAUUUGAAAGGUCCAAGUUCGUCAGAUUAGGAAUGACCCUCGGUUUGCUUGAAGCCAAUCUCAAUCUGCUAAACUUGUUGGAAGAAAGAUCGAGGGUCUCAAGGUUUCUGAAUUCAAAGAAUAUUUGAUGAGAUCCCCCCAGUUAAAUCAUUAGACGAAAGGUUUAGGUAGUUGAGAUUUCUUGACAUGUAAAGCCGAAGAGUUGGGAUGGGAUCUGAGAAAUGGUUAGAUGAGAAGUCCAAGUGAAAUAAUUGGGUGAGAUUAGCCAUUGAAGUGGGAAUUGGCCUAGUGAAAUUGCAACUGCUAACAUCUACACUUGCCAAAUUUUCAAGGUUCCCAAUGGAAUCUGGUAGUUUGCCCGAGAAGCUCGUGUUCUUCAGGUUCAGGUUCCGAAGAGAAGAAUUCUUAGGAAAGUGAGGUAGAGAACCCUGAAGCAAUGAGUUAUAUGACAAGUCAAGAGUCUCAAGUGUAGGUACCUGCAAUACCUUUUCUGGAAACUUCCCGUGCAAAUCACACUGGCUGAGAUCCAAGGUGGUCAAAUUUAACAAAUUGGCCACAAACUCUGGCACUUGACAUGACACAGCAUGAUUGUCACGCAAACGAAUAACUGAGAGUGACAGUAAAUUUGCCAGGUGAUGAUUUAUAGGAUCUGAAAGAAGACAGUUAGACAAGUUUAAAACUUGUAGAUUAGGCAGAAAAGACAUAGCUUUGCACCAUUCAGUCCUGCGGCCUGACAAAUCUACAUUAUCAAGGUACAGUUCUCUGAGCUCUGUUAAGUUCUGAAAAAAGUUGAAAUUUGGGAUCUCAAGUCUCCAGGAAAAUCCGCUUAUGGGCUCACGACUUGACAAAUCAAGAGUAACCAACCUUGGCAGGCUUGAAAUCUCAGUAGGAAUCUACCCUGUGAAGCCACAAUGAGAAAGAUUCAGGUAAGUCAAAUUUGUGAGGUUGGCCAACCUGGAUGGCAUAGGGAAUCCGUAGAAGAGAGUGAAACCCAAAUUUAGACUCUGCAGAUAUUGAAGACUGAAAAGGCCAGAUGCGUUCUCAAGACUGCCGAUGAGUAUUGGUUCCGCGCUCAAGUCGAGGCCAAUAACAUGACCAGCCUCAUCGCAAUCUACUCCGUUCCAAUUACAACAAUCGGUGCUUUCACUCCACUGACUCAUUUUUACAGGUGGAGUAGAAUCAACGUCAAAUAUGAAGCUGUUCUUCAUCUGGAUUAACAGCUCUGAAUUCAAAGAAUAUUUGAUGAGAUCCCCCCAGUUAAAUCAUUAGACGAAAGGUUUAGGUAGUUGAGAUUUCUUGACAUGUAAAGCCGAAGAGUUGGGAUGGGAUCUGAGAAAUGGUUAGAUGAGAAGUCCAAGUGAAAUAAUUGGGUGAGAUUAGCCAUUGAAGUGGGAAUUGGCCUAGUGAAAUUGCAACUGCUAACAUCUACACUUGCCAAAUUUUCAAGGUUCCCAAUGGAAUCUGGUAGUUUGCCCGAGAAGCUCGUGUUCUUCAGGUUCAGGUUCCGAAGAGAAGAAUUCUUAGGAAAGUGAGGUAGAGAACCCUGAAGCAAUGAGUUAUAUGACAAGUCAAGAGUCUCAAGUGUAGGUACCUGCAAUACCUUUUCUGGAAACUUCCCGUGCAAAUCACACUGGCUGAGAUCCAAGGUGGUCAAAUUUAACAAAUUGGCCACAAACUCUGGCACUUGACAUGACACAGCAUGAUUGUCACGCAAACGAAUAACUGAGAGUGACAGUAAAUUUGCCAGGUGAUGAUUUAUAGGAUCUGAAAGAAGACAGUUAGACAAGUUUAAAACUUGUAGAUUAGGCAGAAAAGACAUAGCUUUGCACCAUUCAGUCCUGCGGCCUGACAAAUCUACAUUAUCAAGGUACAGUUCUCUGAGCUCUGUUAAGUUCUGAAAAAAGUUGAAAUUUGGGAUCUCAAGUCUCCAGGAAAAUCCGCUUAUGGGCUCACGACUUGACAAAUCAAGAGUAACCAACCUUGGCAGGCUUGAAAUCUCAGUAGGAAUCUACCCUGUGAAGCCACAAUGAGAAAGAUUCAGGUAAGUCAAAUUUGUGAGGUUGGCCAACCUGGAUGGCAUAGGGAAUCCGUAGAAGAGAGUGAAACCCAAAUUUAGACUCUGCAGAUAUUGAAGACUGAAAAGGCCAGAUGCGUUCUCAAGACUGCCGAUGAGUAUUGGUUCCGCGCUCAAGUCGAGACCAAUAACAUGACCAGCCUCAUCGCAAUCUACUCCGUUCCAAUCACAACAAUCGGUGCUUUCACUCCACUGACUCAUUUUUGCAGGUGGAGUAGAAUCAACGUCAAAUAUGAAGCUGUUCUUCAUCUGGAUUAACAGCAAUUUUUGAUCGCUCUGACACUGGCCAGACACCAAAACCAUAUGCAUCCCAAAAUAAUUGACUAAAAAGGGUGUCAAGAAAAGCCAUGAUAAGAGUAAAAUUGAUCUCAUGAUUGGGUUUAAUAGUAGUUGAAAUGAAACUCAUAGAAGGGAUGAAACUUUCAAGUUGCAAUGUAUAUGUAAUAUAGACUGAUAUAAUAUAGCAGAGGUGGCCCAAGUUAACGAAUUACUAAUUAGAAAGCAGCCGAGGAGGACUUCAGGUCAGCAUGAUGGAAUUGUAAGCACCAUGCGCUGAUUAUUCACGCGGUUUUGACAGAAAAGAAGAGUCGUAACAUGUUGGCAGACAUGAAUAGGUUAAGAUUGAAAAAUUGAAGAGUAGGAGUCUUAUAUUUCCCUGGUAGAAAGCAAGUGAAAAUUAUUAGAUCACAUGAGUUACUACAACAACCUGACUUAACGGUAUCUAUUAACUUACUGAAUCUUCUGC
rnacentral:lncRNA from 1 species